rnacentral:lncRNA from 1 species
CUCACCAGCAUGGACACGGUGAAGAAGUAGUGGAUGAACUUGCAGAUGAAGGCGCCCAGCACCCAGGUGGGCAGCGCGUACACGGUGGCCUGGAAGGGGAUGCAGAAGAGCAGGGUGGCUGUCCGUGAGAACGCCUCUCUCCCAGGAAUAACCCCAGGAAAUCGAGGCUGGCGACGCUCCCUGGAGUUUUGUAAAAUUGGCCGCCUAAUCCCACCCUCACCCCGCGGCCUGCUACAGAGGAGAGAAGUGCAAAGGGAAAGGGCCGCGUGAGCUUCUCUAUAGACGUGGCUGACAUGGAAGGGGAAGGCUGUUCACACCACCCAACCUCACUUCAUUUUUGCCUUGUAUUACUCAUCUGAGGGACAUAAACUGCAGCAGUGACAAACGAAAUAUUUUUAAAGUGAAAGAAAGUGUUUAGUAUCUUACUGCCGUAAAUGUGGAUUUGCCAGAAAGAAAUUAAGCCGUUUCGGUAUAGCAGGGCCAGUCACGUUAGCUUUGUAACCUUGGUGGUUCCCAGCUAGAGAGCUGACACUGAUUCCUUUAUUUGCGGUGAUUUGUCUGUUUUCACUUUCAAAAACACCGAUGCGUUUCCAGCAUUCACCAUCUGGUGACUGUCCAUUAUGCGCGGACGCAGUGCCUGAGGGGAUGGGUAAUCCAAAGACCAAAGAGGGCAGGGGCUCUUUGCCUUGAGGAGUUAAGGAAGUAGGAUCUUGUUUUUCUACCUUGCUAGCUCUGUUCUGCCUCAUUUCCAGAUAAAUCUUGAUGCAGUUCAUUGAACAUCUAUGUAUUUUAUCUACAUUCAUUGCUAGGGAGUUCCUUGCAAGGGAAUUGUUCUAUUCACACACAUUUUCUGGAAGACAAAAUUGAGUGUAAGCAACUUGCCUAUUUGGGUAUCCUGCUAAAGCCAAGAAUGCUCUUACCUGCCCCGACCUGAGAGAAUGCCUUGAAACUUCCUCAGGUGAUCUUGCCAAUCCGUAUUGCUUUUCUUCCCUGAGACGCUCUCCGACCCAGGCUUUCAAAGUAUCAUGUUGUAUUUGACAGCUCUGUUGCAUUGAAAGUUAGUAGUAAUAUGAUUUGGGAGAGUUUUUAAAUUAUGAACUAUUUUCACAUGAAACAGAUAUGAUAAAAUUACAUUGAAUACCAAUGCACCCACCAUCUAGCUUAGAAUAAUUUUUAAAUAUUAUCACUAGAGUUGAAGUCACUUUUAUAUAUUUUCCAGUCACAACCUCCACCUCUCCCACUAUCUCCAAGUAACCUAAAUUUGUUGUCUAUUAGUCAUUUCUUUAUACAUUUUUGGCAUACGCAUAUGAUCUUAAUAUAUUGUGGUGAUUUUUUUUUUUUUUUUUUUUUUUUUUGCUUUAACAUUAUGUGGUUGGUAUUAUGGUACAUGUUUUGUUUGUUUUUGCCUUAAAGUAUAAUUUGUCUGUUAUUGCUAUAAGUACAACAACAUUCUUUGCUUUGUAUUUGCCUGUUACAUCUUUUACAGCCUUCCUAUGUUAUGUCCUGCAAUUUAAAGGUAUCUCUUUAAUAUAGCACAUAACUGAAUUAUUUUAAAACACAAUUUUAAAAUCUCUAGUUUUUAACUGGUGAGUUUAGGUCAUUUAUAUUUAUUGUUAUUACUAACCUAUAUGGAUUUAUUUUUAACAUUUUAUUUUGUACUUUUUAUUUGUUUUCUAUUUCUGUGCUUUUUCUCUCUCUCUCUCUCUCUCUUUUCAUGACAUCUUUUGAAUUGCAUUUUAAAGUGUUUUCUCCCUCCCUCCACAUUCUUGGAAAAGGAAGAAAUAUAGUGUAUAUUUAUUGUUUUACUGGUUACCCUUGAGUGCCUACUAUGUGCCAGGAACUAUUGUAGGUUCUGGAGAUAGAGCAAUUAACACAACAAAGUACUUUCUUUUAUGGAUUUUACAUUUCAUUAUGGACACGACAUUUAAAAAUAAAUAAAAUGAUAAUGUCACAUGUGGUAAACACUACUGAUAUACUUUAGAUAUCUGUCCUCGCCAAAUCUCUUAUUGAAUUAUAAUCCCUAAUGUUGGAGGUGGAGCCCAGUGGGAGGGUUUGGAUCAAUGGGGUGGAUCCCUCAUGGCUUGGUGCUGUCCUCGGGACAGUGAGUCUGAAGAUCUGGUUGUUUGAAAGUGUGUGGCACCUCCUCCCUUCCCUCUCUUGCUUCCGCUCCUGCCAUGUAAGAUGUAUCUGCUCCCCCUUCACCUUCUGCCAUGAUUAGAAGCUUCCUGAGACCUCCCCAGAAGCUGAGCAGAUGCCAGCACCAUGCUUCCUGUACAGCCUGCAGAACUGUGAGCCAAUGAAACCUCUUUUCUUUAUAAAGUACCCAGCCUCAGGUGUUUCUUUAUAGCAAUGCAAGAAUGGCCUAAUACAACCCUAAAAGAGAAGAAUGCAGGAUAAGGGAUAGAGAGCAGUUAGAGAGUAUAACUAUAUACAGGGCAAUAGGGAGAAACAUCUGAAAAACUGACAUUUGAGUAGGAACCUGAAGGAAGUACAGAAGGAAACCUUUUAAACACGUGGCAUGACACAUUCCCGGGAAACAGUGCAGCAGAGGAAGCUGUGUGAAGAACGAGGAGUACAGUUUUGCUGUCAUGGAAACAGCUGGGAAGAAGAUUUGUCAGCCACGAGGUCAGAAAACAUUGGUUCAGGAAAAUGGGGAUGGAUGACCUCAGACCUUGGAGAGCAAGGAAGGGGCCUGGGACUUCAUUCUGGACUUCGGAGGAAGUCCUAUAGGGAGUUUCAAGCAGAGAGAUGUUAUGCUCUGACCUGCGAUUCAGAAUGAUGAUUCUGGAGUACAGAUUAGAAGAGCAAAGAAAAGAGCAGAAGACCAACCAGUAAGCUUGCAGGAACCCAGACAACAGAUCGUUCUAGGUGUGGUGGGAAGGACCUGGAUUCUGGAUAUCUCAAUGUUGUAGCAAAUGAGAUUCGUUGGUGGAUGGAUUUAAGGUGGGAGAAAAGGGAGAGCAAGGUUGACUACCACGGUUUUAGUCUGACAGCCUGGAUGGGAAAUCACCAUUUACUGAGUUGACACAAAGAGUGGAAGGAACAGGUUUGGAGGUGUGGAGCAUCAAGUUAAAUUUUAGGUGCUUGCUAGACAUGGGACUGACAAGACUGCAGUUGGGUGGAUUAGUCUUGAGUUAAUGAGAGAGACCAGAGCUGGAGACAUGGAUUCAGAAGUUACUAAAAUUCUAUUAAUAUUAAAUAGAAUUUAAAAUUAAUUGUUAUCACUCCCCUUCUCCCAAGCCAUACAAGUUUCAGGAAGCCUUCUAACUCCAGUCACUUUUUGUCAUUCUACCUGGUUUUGUUGCCCAGUUGUUUAGUUCUUUUAAUUUCCCCCCAAUUCGGCAUAUUUGUUGUGUGAUACAGGCAAUAUCCAGUUUGGUGACCCACAUUCUUACCCAUGGCUUUCUGCACCUUCCUCUAUUCAUCUUAAGCCUUUUCCUUGUUUUUAGAGAAUAUAUUUUAAGUUUUCCUUUAGUGAUAGUCAAUGAUAAAAAUUGCUCAUUGGCUCUUAUUAUUGAAUGGGAGUUGGCCAGAUGGACAGUUCUUUUCUCCCAGUACACUGAGGAUAUUUUUCCACCUUCUGGAUUUUGCUCCUGCUCUUGAGAAAUCAGCUGAUGUGCUUUCUGUCACUCCUUUAGAGAUAAUCUGACUUUUUUCUCUAUUUCUAAUAUCUUCUCUUUAUCAUUGAUGUUUUAUAAUUUCACUUUGAUAGGUUUGUGAUGAUUUUCAUUUUUUAGCCCUUCUUGUUGAGCUUCUGAAGCUAAAGAUUAAUAUAUUUUUCAUCAGUUCUGGAAAAAUUUUCAGCCAUUAUCUCUUUUACUUUCCCCAUUCUUGGCACUCUCUCCUCCUGGAAUUCUGAGAGACAUAGCUUAGGCCUUUCCACUAUCUCCUUCCUAUCACUGACUCACUUUUUCAUACUUUUCAUCUCUUCAUCUGUGCCAAUUUAUUGGUAUUUCUUCAGCUGUACACCCUUGAUUUAACUACUCUCCUUAAGUUCUCACAGAAUUUUUUCAAAUGUGCCAGGCCUAUUUUUUAAUAUUUUCUUCCUCAUUGCUGAUGUUUCUAAUUACCUCUCCUAUUUAUCUGAAUAUUUUAAAUGUGCUGAUUUUAUAUUCUGAAAAUUCUAAUAUCUGAAGUCCUUGGAGUCUAAUUAUGCUUUUAUUACUUCUACCAAGUUCCUAUUCUCGUAGCUUGUUUCCAGUUUUGUUUUGUUUUGUUUUUGUCCUUUAGAUUUCUGUUAAGCCAGAACAUACCUGUGAUGAUUUGAUAGACUUGAGUUAAGUGCAUACUCCUAUAAAAGUGUUUUUAUUUGCUCUGCCAUUGGCCCAAUGGUACCAUCAACUCAGGACAUUUUUAAGUUAAUUUCUCAGCAUGAUAUGCAUCAGGACACACAAGGGUAAAUUCAAACCCCAAAACCUACAUAAGAGAGGUAAUGGGGGAGUGAAUUCUCAGGUCUUUCCCUCCCACCUGGCCCUAAGGCUGCCACGGAGUUUUCUAGAAGUGUUUGUGGGCAGAUUGCUUUGUUGUUCCCACUCAUUUACUGCGCUCCCUAUUGGAAGAUUCUGUAAUCCUGCCUCUCCCAGGUGAAUUUCUGUGCUCCUCUCAGGGCAGAAAUGAGUCUUACCCAUUUCCUUCAGGCUUUGGCUGAGACAAUGUGAGUGCAACAGCUGUGAGGUCAUCCUGAGCUCAAGGUCUAAGCAAUACCAUGGGAUUCAUUCCUCGGGUACGAACACUGAGCAUCCCCCUCAGGUACGAAGACUGUGCAUCCCAGUGCAGGCUGCUGCUUUGGGCUGUGUUCUCCAUGAAUACGUGCCACAGGAUUUCAGUUGACCCCAGUUAAAAUGUCCCCUUAGCAAGAAAUUAGCCUUUGUGGCUGUGAGCUACUUGUUACUGCAGCUUAAUGCAGCAAAAGCUGACUACAGCACUUCUUUGCCAGGAAACUUUUUAUAGGUGAAUCCUUCACUAACAGUGUAGCCUUUCAAGGAUCCUGCAUUUUUACAAGGGUCUCAAUUAUCUGUCUUAUUCUGUCUUAUUCCAAUUCUCUUAGAGUUGAAUUCAAGACGACCUAGUCUCUCCUAAUGGAAAUUUUAAAACUCAGCAAGGCACAGUGGCUCAUGUCUAUAAUCUUAUCACUUUGGGAGGCCAAAGAGGGAGAAUUGCUUGAAGCUAGGAGUUUGAGACCAGCCUGGGCAACAAAGCAAAAUCCCAUUUCUACAAUAAAAAUAAAAAUAACAUUAGCUGGUCAUGCUGGCACCUGCUAUAGUCCAGCUACUUGAGAAGCUGAGGCAGAAGGAUUGCUUGAGCCCAGGAGUUGGAGGCUGCAGUAAGCUAUGAUCAUACCACUGCAUUCCAGCCUAGGUGAGAGAGUAAGACCUCAUCUCUAAAAAAUAAUAAUAAUAAUCUGUGACAGAUGUUAUGUGUGUUCACCACAUUUUCAGUUCUCCCCUUCCAGGCUCCUGGAAGACUGCACUUCUCAGCCCCAUUGAUGUUUUGCAGGUCUGCAGAAUCAGUUAUGUCCAAUCAAAUAGAAAAGAAAGAGAAGCUUCCAAGCCACAUGGAAGAACCCUCCCCAUAGCUGUUCCAGCCAAGUGGACUCUUAGUAAGCGUCCUAACAUACUCUGCUCUUCCUUAAUUUUUUUUUCUUCCUACAUGACAGACAGACCACCUAUCUGAAUGUCAAUUUUCAUUGUAUUACACCUAGGAUGUUUUGACUCAUCGUUCAAGUCCCAGCUGCAAUGUUAUCUCAUUUCCAGAGUCUUUUUGGCUGUCCCUGUUAGGGCGCAUCACUCCUCCCUCUAUACUCGCAGAAAACUCUGUCCUGGCUUCCCAAAGCACCCUCACAAUGCUUUGUAACUUCGCAUGUCGCGGGCAAGCAUCUCGCAGUCCUUUAACCCGGGAGUCUCUCCAGAGCACAUUGGGGUCGGCUCCAGGCAGCUGCUCUGGGUCUCUGGAGGUCUUCCACACAGCCAGGCACUGGCCAGGGAAGGACUUUUGGGGAUGGAUGCCAUCGGCAUCCUCCCUGCUUGCCCAUGGGCCCUGUGUGUCUGUGACAACAGGGGCAGGGCCAGCCUGGGGACCUGGCUGCUCCGGUCACCUUGGAGAUGCAGGCAGCCCACUGGGUGGAUGAAGCACACUCCUGGGGUCUGAGGGCAGCUGCACAGGCACUGCUGGAGUCACAAACUCCUGGGGAUUUGGGGGGGCAGGGGGCCACCAUCCCCUCUGCCACUGACCCAGCCCCCUGGCUUCCCAGCCAGUCCCUGCUGGGCCCUCCUGCCCUGCAUCCAGCCCCAAGGGUACGGCACAAGCACCAGCCUCGGUGUCCGCUGCACCCCUCCCCACUCUCGGGUCUCUAGGAUGUUCCAGGCUCCACACAGGGACCACUGUUCCAGCAAGGCCACUCUCUCUCUGUAGCUUUAAACAGCAGGUUUUGGAACUCACAGCAGAAGUUGGACGCCAUUCCCUUACCCCUACCUCUGGCAUUGGGGACUGUUGUAAUUUUCCCCCUGAGGGACAUAAUCCUGUCUAAUAGUUAGGUUUUAGUGAUAUACAGGGUGUAGAACAGAAAUAAAAUAUCUAGAACAAAAUGGAAAAGGAAGCAUUUAAAGUAUUAUCUGGCCACAUUCAUUUAACCACCUCCAUACUCUGAAACACAGCAGACACAUUCCUCAUCUUUGCAUCCUAAGCUAGCAUGUGAGCAUGCUAAUGAAUGAAUAGUAAUAAACCAGCAUUAACCAAGUCAUUAAUAAUUAGCAAUAAUUUUGAAAGAGUGUCUUAUGUGCUAUACUGUAGGAAAUAUGUUCACUAUCUCUUUGAAUUCUCAUAACAACUCUAUAAAGUUGGUGUUAUUUUCACCAUUUUACAAGCAAACAGCCAAGUCUUGGAAAGGUUAAACCAACCUUAGGACUCAUGCACAUUUUUGUUUGUGGUGAUGGGAUUUAAAGCUGGAUCAAUUUCAAUCCACAUACAAUAUUCUUAAUCUUUAUACUGUUGUAGAAUAUUUAGUAUAUACCUAUGUCAGUCAAAGUAUAGUGAGAGAUGGUAUCCUCUGAAACAAAUUCAUGGAGAUUCAUUCCCUGUGUAGAAAAUACCUGAAGCAAGUACAUAUUUAUCUGUCCAGCAUCCCUACCUUCGAGAAACAUUGUUUCACCACUCUAUGGUAAAGCAGAUUCAUCCCCAGAUGUCCCCCUACUCAUGGGGUGGAGGGGCAUAUCUCAUGGGACUAGAAUAUUAUCUCAUGCCAGUCCCAUGAGAUAAUAACCUCCCGCUCUUCACAAGUGAACUUUAGUUAAAUUUCUGCAACCAAAAAAAGGCUUGAUGUAGCACUGCUUCAUCAUAUACAAUAUAUACAUAUUGUAUAUACAUAAUGCAUCUUAGCUUUAGAAAUCAGCAUCUACCCAGGCCUAGCCAAUCCAAAUACCCCACAGGUUAAUCUUCCCCUGAUAUUCCAAACUGCCACAUCUACAAAAAGUUAGAAUUGUUGGCGGCUGCUUUUGUCACUGUGUGAAGUAGGCCCCUUGAGGCCACCAAUCAUGUGGAGGGAAGCCAAGUGAAAAAUGGAAAUCAAGAAGCCCAGAGGAUGUCACUAUAUCUGCUGGAUCCAGCUGUGCCUGAAGCCAGUGCCCCGCCUAGACUUGCCAGUGUCAUGAGAUAAGCUCCUGCUCUUCACAAGUGCAUUUUAGUUAAGUUUCUGCAACCAACAAAAGGCCUGAUGUAGCACUGCUUCAUGAGAAAUAUACAUAAUGCAUCUUAGCUAUUUAUUUGUGCUCAAUUUGAGAAAUAAAAUACAUAGGAAAGAAAAAAGAAUGCAAAAUGAUAAAAAUUAAAUAGGUACUUGAAACCAGAUACUUCUGGUCUAUUUUCCAGAUUUAAUACUUUAAAUAUUUUAAUUUUUUAUCUCUUUGCUUAUUUAUUUAUUUAUUUUUGAGACAGAGUCUUUCUCUGUCAUCCAGGCUGGAGUGCAGUGGUUCAAUCUCAGCUCACUGCAAUCUCCAACCUCUACCUCCUGGGCUCAACCAUCCUCCCACUUCAGCCUCCCAUGUAGCUGGGACCACAGGUGUUCACCACGAUGCCAGCCUAAUUUUUGUAUUUUUUGUAGAGACGGGUUUCACCAUGUUACCUAGGCUGGUCUCGAAUUCCUGGGUUUAAGCAAUUCACCUCCCUGGGCCUCCCAAAGUGCUGGGAUUACAGGUGUGAGGUACCAUACCCAGUUUCUUCUUACUUAGAUUUAAGGUAAUCACUGUUUCCCUUAACGUCACUAAGAAAAUAAAGUUUAAAGAAUAGUAAGGGGUCAUGCAUUUGAGAGAGGUCAUUGCUUUAAAGAUUUUUUCUGUAUUAACUCAUUCCAUUCAUUCAUUCAAUCAUCAAAGGAAUAGACUUAAAUUUAAAUCAUAAUACAAUUCCUUCCUCUACGCAUGAAAUGUAGGAAAUUUCCACUAAGAAAGGAUUACCCUGUGCAGCUUUUCCUAAACAAGCAUAUCUUACUCACUUGCAUGAUAAAUGCACAAAAAGGUGCAUGAAUCGGAAGUCUACAGAGUGGCAGAUCUUCAAAAGUUCUUCAGUGCUUCAAGAAAGCUGCAUUUACACACCUUCCAUAAAAUGCAGGUCAGUGUGUGUUUGGGGGUGGGGAUGCUGCAAGAAAAUCGAAGAUGCAGAAAGCAGGGGCCUUACAAUUAGAGUCCUCUGCAUUCCCAGAAAGGGACUGUGUCCCCUAACACAAAAGCUGUGUAAAACAGAAACAGGGCAUCUCUGAAUAACGAGGGCUGCCCUCCGGAAGCUCCUCAUCAAUCUCCUCAAAACCCACUGAAGUAUGCUUGUAAGAACUGGAGCAGCUGGGAGUGUCUUUCGUGAACUGGUUCCUAACUUCUGACUACUAAUAAAUCCUAGAGGUGGGGGUCUGGCUUACAUUAUUCAGCACAUUAUGGAUAAUCCCACGCGGCUUGUCACCUACUGCAGCUCGUAAAUGUUUUCUGGCUAAUUAAGCUGAAGAAAUGGCCUAUCUUCCACUUACAUAGCUGAUGUUUUAUAUGUCAAUAUAAUACUGGAACUUGUCCAUUCUGAACAACACAUUUGACUUCUUAUUUCCCUUCUUUAAAGUCCAUUUGGAUUCCAAUAUUUAAAGGAGUUAUCAAUUUCAUCUAUCCAAGUCUAUUUAUAAGUUUAUUUCCUACCUAUCCCUCUAUUCCAUUUCUAAGUUUUGCAUCAAAAUAACUAGAAGGGGGCUGGGCGUGGUGGCUCAGGCCUGUAAUUCCAGCACUUUGGGAGGCCAAGGUGGGCAGUUCAGCUGAGGUCAGGAGUUCAAGACUAGCCUGGCAAACAUGGCAAAACCCCGUCUCUACCAAAAAUACAAAAAAUUAGCCAGGCAUGAUGGUGGGUGCCUGUAAUCCCAGCUACUUGGGAAGCUGAGGUGGGAAAAUCGCUUGAACCCAGGAGGCGGAGGUUGUAGUGAGCCGAGAUCACACCACUGCACUCCAGGUUUUAUUUUCUUAAACUACAGAAUAGAUGUAAAGAAUGAGUUAACCUAGGAAACAUGGUGAGACCCCCAUCUCUACAAAAAAUACAAAAAUUAGCCAAGCAUGGUGGUGCGUGCCUGUGGCCCCAGCUACCUGGGAGGAUGAGGUGGGAGGAUCAUUUGACCCCAGGAGUUGGAGGCUGCAGUGAGCUAUGAUCAUGUCACUGUACUCCCGCCUGAGCAACAGAGAAGAACCCAUCUCAAUCAAAUAAAAUAGAAUAAUAACUUACAAAGACUACAGUGAGACGGUUUUCUGACAAAUUUAAGGUGAGAACCUCAUGGCCAGCCAUCUGUUGAGUUUUAAAAUAUAGUUCCCAUCUAUUGUUUUGCUGUAUACAUUUUACUCCCAGCAGUUUCAGAUGACUAAUACAUCCAACUUUGGCCUCACCAAAAGGUGAUAUGCAGUCCUUGAGACUCAGGGGCCCUUCAGAAGUUAAGAGAAAUGAGGAGCAGAGUGAGGAAGGAAUGGCCAGCCCACAGGGUCAGGGAGGCAGCAGAGCAGCAACCCCACAGGGUCAGGGAGGCUACAGCAGCAGCCCCUGGGGGACGGGCCCAGGCUACAGCUGUACAGGUUCCCCUUGGGUCUGUUGGGGUGAUCAGACCCAAAACUAGGUUAUGGGGGUGACGAAGUCCGGCAGAGUCAAAAGAAUGAGAAAAGACAGUUUGAGAGAGAAAGUGGGACCAGGGGGCUAUUGCGAGUGUGGAAGCUGCAAAGGCCCCAAGCUCUGGAAGCCCAGACUAUUUAUUGGUGAUCAAACAAAGAAACAGGUGGUGAGAAUGUGGGGUUGAAAGGAAGGGUUGCAUUAAGCACAUGAUUUACAGCUGUGAUGGUUUAGCAUCUGCUCUGCUACUUGAGAUAACGGGGAGCAGGUUCUUUUAACUCAAGAUACAAUCGAUCCUGGGAGAGCAAGGAGCAAGGAAGCAGCAAGUCUAGACACACUCCAGAGCCACAAGCCCUGGAUUCUAUCCAAGCCACGAGGGGUUUUAUGCCCUGGGCUUAGACUGUGGUGUGUCAGGGUAGCCUUCUACCCUUUAGCACAGAGCUUGGUGUUCCAAACGCCACGAGGGGUUUUCGACCCUGGACCUUGUUCAUGUUCCAAGACUCUUUUACAUUAUGUCAGACAUGCAAGCCCUGCCUCAGCUUCUCCCAAUACCCAGCUUUUCCCAACAGUGUCCAACCCCUGCAGAAACACACAUCUGCCACAGGAACUUCCCUUCUUCCUUCCUGCAUUUUUGCCCUUGCCAAGCCUCCUGAGCCCUUGGCUUCCUCGCUCCAAGGCCCUGACAGUGGGGAGGAGCUGAGGGUAAACACUGUUCCACAUUCCAUAUGAUCACAUUUGUUUAUCAUAAGGAGAAACACAUAUGUUACUUAUAGGAAGUAAUGUGUAAUGUGAGAUGCUAAAAUAAAUAGCAAAAUGAUUUUUAAAUUUUUUAGACAUUAUAGAUUAAUGGAGCUGGCAGUAAACAACCAAUUUCUUCUUCUGUCCUCUCUCUAACCCAGGGUAACCCCAGCUGAGCUACUGUUCCGAUUUGGGGGAUUUACGCUAGUUGCCUCCUUUCUUUUGCCUCAGACGCUUUAUUGGUAAAACAGAAAUAAUAAUAGUCCCUCCCCCAUGGAGUUGUUCUGAAAAUUAAAUGAACUAAUAGAUGUAAAGUUCCAAGAAAAGUGACGGCAUAAAAUAAGCAAGAAAAAAUGCUACUUUUAAGUUAUCCAUCCAUUCAGCUUGUGAAUGUUUGCAUUUUAACAUACUUGCUUCUAACAUGCUACUAUUUUAGUAUUUUAUUCCUUCUCUCUGUAGUUCAGCUGAUUCUAUUAUUUAAGAUACUUGCAUUCCUCAUGACAGAACUUUAUCACAUCUCUCCAUAUUUAUGAUGUAAUCAACUAUCUGUUAAUGUAAUGGACCAAUAGUAAAAACAAUGCCAAUUGCUGAUCAUUCAAAAAAACUGACACAUAGCCCAGGCGCGGUGGCUCACAGCUGUAAUCCCAGCACUUUGGGAGGCCAAGGCAGGUGGAUCAUGAGAUCAGGAGAUCGAGACCAUCCUGGCUAACAUGGUGAAACCCCAUCUCUACUAAAAAUAGGAAAAAAAUUUAGCUGAGCAUGGUGGCAGGUGCC